rnacentral:rRNA from 1 species
UACGUAGGGUGCGAGCGUUAAUCGGAAUUACUGGGCGUAAAGGGUGCGUAGGUGGUUAUAUAAGUUAUCUGUGAAAGCCCUGGGCUCAACCUGGGAAGGUCAGAUAAGACUGUAUGACUCGAGUAUGGGAGAGGGUAGUGGAAUUUCCGGUGUAGCGGUGAAAUGCGUAGAGAUCGGAAGGAACACCAGUGGCGAAGGCGGCGACCUGGCUUAAUACUGACACUGAGGCACGAAAGCGUGGGGAGCAAACAGG